CCUACGGGAGGCUGCAGUGAGGAAUAUUGGUCAAUGGGCGCGAGCCUGAACCAGCCAAGUCGCGUGAGGGAAGACGGUCCUAUGUAUUGUAAACCUCUUUUGUCGGGGAGCAAAAGACGCCACGCGUGGCGUUCCGAGAGUACCCGAAGAAAAAGCAUCGGCUAACUCCGUGCCAGCAGCCGCGGUAAUACUGAGGAUGCGAGCGUUAUCCGGAUUUAUUGGGUUUAAAGGGUGCGCAGGCGGAAGAUCAAGUCAGCGGGAAAAUUGAGAGGCUCAACCUCUUCGAGCCGUUGAAACUGGUUUUCUUGAGUGAGCGAGAAGUAUGCGGAAUGCGUGGUGUAGCGGUGAAAUGCAUAGAUAUAACGCAGAACUCCGAUUGCGAAGGCAGCAUACCGGCGCUCAACUGACGCUCAUGCACGAAAGUGUGGGUAUCGAACAGGAUUAGAUACCCCUGUAGUC
rnacentral:rRNA from 1 species